UACGAGUGGUGCAAGCGUUGUUCGGAAUCACUGGGCAUAAAGCGCGCGCAGGCGGCGACGCAAGUCAGCUGUGAAAUCCCCCGGCUCAACCGGGGAACUGCAGCUGAAACUAUGUUGCUGGAGUGUGGGAGGGGAGAGCGGAAUUCCUGGUGGAGCGGUGAAAUGCGUAGAUAUCAGGAGGAACGCCAGAGGCGGAAGCGGCUCUCUGGUCCACUACUGACGCUGAGGCGCGAAAGCUAGGGGAGCAAACAGG
rnacentral:rRNA from 1 species